UUGUGGCUGAUUUCGUGGGGAGCAAGGGGGGAGGAGAUUUCCGCGAAAACUUGACCAAUCUUCGUGCAGUUCGUCCCUACUUCUAGGUAUCGAGGUUCGCAAUUUCCAUGCCCAACUUCUACUCACGAAGGCGAUGGAGAUCCUUCCGCCGAUGCAUAGCUACUCGAGUUGGAGAUCGAGUUGUAAGCGGUGGAGUAGAGGUAUGAGAAGCAGCUUUGCUUCUCUUCUUGUGGAUUAUGUUGGAGUCUCUUUCACUUUAUGAGAACUCUGUUAUUAAAGUCUUGCUUCCGCCACUGUUAAAGUGCGCAUGUUUAUUCUGAACCUUACUUAUGGUAUUGUAAACUAUUAUUACUGUAUAUCGGGAAACAAGUUAUCUAAAUAAAGUUAUGGUAUGUUUCCAACCUUUUAGCCGAAGUGUUUAGUUGUUUUACAGAAAAAAAAUUCCCUUGGUUUUUAGGGAUUGCAGAUUGGUCCUUAGACUUUGUUAGGUUACUAAUGUGACUCCUCAGUUGAGAAAUUGGGGUGUUACAAUUGUGGUAUCAGAGCUUUGGUCUAGAAAACCAGAGCUUUUGGGUAGAGUGCCUGCUUAAGAUGUUUGAACUCUGAGACCGAUUGAUGGGGUGUCAAUCGGAGGAAGAGUGUGCUUGAUUACUGUUUAUAUAGAUUAUUUUUGAAGGUUAUUCGUAAGUGAAUAACCUUAUGCUAGUUAUUGUUAAUUAUACAUUUGAUAUAAGUAUAUACAUAGUUAGUUAUUAUAGAACUUUGUGUUGUUCUGGCCUGAGUAUCUGUUGUGGUCUUUGACUGUUCAU